GAGCGGAGGGGGGGGUCCGAAGGCGGCCGCGGACAGCGCCGCCCGUCACCUCUCGCCCCCGUCCCCGGCGGCGGAUCCUCCGCCUGAGAGUUCACUCACCGCCGCUUCGGCCGGCGCCGGGCUCCCGCCGCCCUGACGGGGCUGGGCUCCCGCCGCCCUGACGGGGCUGCCUCCCGCGGGAGGUGGGCAGGAGGCUCCCCCGGCUCGGGGAAGGUUGUAGCUGGGGUUGAACAGAAGAAGCCUGGCCGAGCACCCAGCCCGGCUGCCGGGACGCCGGUGGGCAGGAGAACCGGCAUGGGAACCGGAGAGAGAGGGUCGCGGUCAAAGUUAGACAUUCAAAUUACCUGUUUCUUCAAGUGAGGUAAAGGAAUGAAGGAGAGGAAUCUCGCCUGUGCCCUCCUGGAGAGGAGAGUUGCAGUAUUGAGUGCAAGAAGUUAUUAGACAUCAGAAUAUCCCAAGAGGAAAAGACUUGUCCCACUGACAGAGAAAAAAGCUUUAAUCCAAGUUUUAAUAAAUAUAAUUUUAAAAAGAAAAAAAAACAACCCAGAGGAAGUCACAACUUCUUAUUUCUGCAGCUCACAGAACUAAUUGUUGGAGGAGCGUUUGAUUGUGUGUGUUUACUGGCAGGGGAAGAACAGGAUUGUGUCCAAGGAUACAGCUGGUCAGACAAAAAAGUUGCAGCCGUGCUGGUGACAGGAUUCCGGAAGCGUGGGAUGUGUGUUAACCUCCAGCGAGUGCAAAUGUAUGUGGGGUUUGACCCCGAAUAACCCACCCGAAGAAGUGAACCAACGCUUUACAGACGCAAACAAAGAGAAUCACAGAUGGGGACGUGCCUGGGUGACAGAAAAGAGAGGAGAAAUGUGACAAGGACAAGAGAGGAUUCACAGGCGCCUGCCGAGCAGAUCCCCUGGAGGUGACCAAGGGUGCAGUUAGAUGGGUUUUCUGCCAGAAAGGUGAAUAGAUUCCCCCUGAAGUCAUAAAAGUAUCAGGAGUGAGCACAAAGGAAGAGUUGAAACCGUUUGGCUGGGAGGAACAGGACCAUCCCUUUGGUGAUACAGCACUCUUAAAUCAUCUCCGUAGUCUCAUCUAACUCCUCCUUAAUAGAAACUUCAUGUUACUGCUAGGAAGUCUAACAUGUAGGUGUCAUUGAAAAGGUUGGUCACUUCCACUUCUCACCCUCAGUUAGAUUCUCCCAUUGCUUCCUUUAUGCCCAGUCUUGUAUACGUGUGACCCUGGGGCUUAGCCAGUGAGCAAGCUAAAUCAGGAGGUUUUUUUAGAAAGAUAGUUUUCUGAUUAAUUCCUGAAACAGUUAACAAGAGAGUCAGAUGAGUGGCAGAGGUUGCACAAGAGAAGGAACAAGACCGAGCGCUUGCAAACAAUGGAUUGAGCUUUUCAGCAGCAGCUGGGCACUUCUUACGUGGUGUAACAUAAACCAAAGGCAGCAGUGAGGAGGAGUGGUCUGUAAGUGAAGAAGUACUUUUGAGGAGCAGAAUUUGCUCUGUGCUUUACAGAGUGGCAAUGAGAAGAGAGGGAAAAAAAAAAAAAAAGAUAGGCUGGUAAGGGAUUAAAAAAAAAAUUUCAGUUCCGCAAAACCAGAGGAAGACGCACAACAGAGGCAUCUUGGAACCAGAGCACAGGAAGAAAAUCUGAUAUUGAAAAAACAGAAGGCAGAAAUGAUCUGUGGCAGAUGGAAAACCAAGAAGUGGAAAAGUGAAGAUUCAAACCAAAAAUAGAGAGGAAGAAGUCUGCAUGAUUAGAAACUUCUUGUUGAGAAGAACCAAUUGACCUGUCACGUCUGUAAGGAACAAGGAUUUGAGAUGUGCUGCUGAGACUGAAAAGCGUCCUGUUAGAGUCAGCAGAAGUCCUUCACAGAGGGAAAAAUGUCAACAACACGCACUAUUUAUACACAAACACAGUGUGUGGGAGUACAUCAGGGGAGAGAACCUGCAACUACAGGAUUGCCAGCCCCUCGCAUGCAAGCUGCGUUGGGGAUUUAAGAAGAAAGGAGUUGUGGUGCUUCCUCUUUUUGUCCUUCCUGCUGAUCCCUGGUGUUACUGGCCCCAUUUCUCACACUUUUAUAUGCGCUAAGAAAUGCUGCAAGUCCUUUGCAAGGAUCUACGAAGUGUCUGCACAACGCUGUCUGCACCACAUCUUUCCUUGUUUAAAUGUUUUCCAUAAACCUGUAAAGCUAUCAUUGUUUUCACUUGAAUAUCAAAACAUAAAUUCUUGCAAGUUGUCUGACUAAGCAUGUGGAAAUUAAAACUGUGAGUACU